rnacentral:lncRNA from 1 species
UAUGUGAACCUUUUACAUUUUGAAAAUUGCAAAGACUCCUGCUGUGCUGUUUCUUUUGAGAAGCCGGCUGGUUAAAUGAUCAAGUCAUUAUUGGGAAUUUGGAUCUAAGUGACCUGGCAGAAACCAUGGAGAUGAUCUUGCCAUGUUUACACUGCAUCCACAGAUUGUGAUACUGUUUAUGAAGGAGAGAAAAAGUCCUUCCAUUUAUUCUUGUUCUUAAUGAAAAUUUCUGAGCUGUUAUGCUUUGAAAUUACAAUGAUAAAGUGGCUCUUUGAGAAUAAAAGAUUCAAUAUAUUACAAUUGAGAAUAAAAGAUUUAAUAUAUUACAAAGCCAGCUUGUAUAUUGGACAGUGAGGUAGGAAAGAAAUCCAUUCCGAAGUGGCAGAGAAGCUGCUUUUUCCUCCUGCAUGCUGCCUGCUAGUGUGGAUCUUGGCAUAACAGACACUACUUGACAAAAGGUAAGUGUACCAAAGUAAAAACUAUACUCUUGGUGAAUUCAUUCAUUCCUAAUAAAGACUUAGGUCUCUUUUCCUGCAAAUAUUGUCACUAAGUGAGUAUGAAGAGGUGCCUUCUUAUUUUUGGACAUCAUGGGAGGUGGGAUUAGGGAGCAAGAGGUGAGAAUGGGUGACUAUCACCACUCUUGUUGCUAAGGGCCAGAUUGGUUCAUCUCUGCCUCUUCUGUGCAUGUAAAUAAAUGCAGUUCCCUGGGAGCCUAUGUUAGGUUCAGGGCCAAAAAAUU